AUUAGCCAAAAUGAGAGUGGUUUGCUACCCCUUUUUGGCCAAAAUCUAUCCCCUCCUUUUUUUUGUCUCUUUUUCAAUUUUUUUUUUAAGUUUUUUUUUUUUUUUAAUUUUUUAAUUUUAAUUUUUAUUAAGGCGGAGCUACGUAGUGUUUAAACACUGACACAUAAAGCUUUAUUAAUUAAUUAAGCGACAGAUGAAUGGAUGUACCAUCUCUAUCUUUAUUGAAAAUUGAAAUUCUCUAGUAAUUAAAUAUAAAACUAAGGUCACUUUGAAGAGUAAUGAUUCUCGUCGGCCGGGUGUGAAUGAACAGUGAUUCACACCGGCCGACAUGGAACCUGUUUUCAUUUAAAAAAAAAAAAAAAAUUUUUAUUUUCUGACAAAACAGGUUCCACGUCGACCGGUGUGAAUCACUGUUCAUUCACACGCCGACGAGUAUAAUUACUCCACUUUGAAUAACAACUUUAAACAACAGGGCAAAAAGGUAUGUACACGGUAGUUUAAACAAAUAACGAAAAGAAAUAUUCAAAAAAAAAAAAAGAGGAAAAGAAUUACCCAAGAAGAGCCAUGCCGAAAAGGAAAAGCGAGCUUUAAGCCUGUAAGCAAUGGAGAGGAACCGGCGUCAACGUCCAAACCCUUCAUCUUCUUCUUCGACGCGUCCACAGUCAUACAAAAGAUUCCCUUCUAAUCCCACCCAAAAUUCCAAUCCUCCAAACACAAACCGCGAUGCCCCUGGCUUUGUUAAAUCCAGAAGAGCUACUCAGGAAGACCCUUCCAAUCUUCCCCCUUUAGUUGGCACUUGCCCCUUUAUGUGCCCAGGUACUAUUUGCACUCUUUAACAAGAAAAAAUGUUUUUUUUUUUGUUUUUGUUUUUGGGUGUAAAACUUAAGAAUAUAUGAUGAAUUGAGUAGAAUUAGAUACUAUUUGAUAAAGGGUGAGGUGGAAAAAUCUGAGGGGGGGGGGGGGGGGGGUAAAGAAUUUUUGUUUAAAUGUAUAAAGGGGAAAAAGGGGAGUAUUAAAUUUUUUUUUUAAAACCUUUUUUGUUACUUUGUGUGAAAA
rnacentral:precursor_RNA from 1 species